UACAGGGGGUGCAAACGUUGCUCGGAAUUACUGGGCGUAAAGGGCUCGUAGGCGGCCAACUAAGUCAGACGUGAAAUCCCUCGGCUUAACCGGGGAACUGCGUCUGAUACUGGAUGGCUUGAGUGUGGGAGAGGAAUGCGGAAUUCCAGGUGUAGCGGUGAAAUGCGUAGAUAUCUGGAGGAACACCGGUGGCGAAGGCGGCAUUCUGGACCAUUACUGACGCUGAGGAGCGAAAGCCAGGGGAGCAAACGGG
rnacentral:rRNA from 1 species